GCAUAUCAAUAAGCGGAGGAAAAGAAACCAACAGGGAUUGCCUCAGUAACGGCGAGUGAAGCGGCAAAAGCUCAAAUUUGAAAUCUAGCACUUUUAGUGUUCGAGUUGUAAUCUGAAGAACUUUUCUCUGGGUGUGCCUUUAUCUAUGUUCCUUGGAACAGGACGUCAUAGAGGGUGAGAACCCCGUAUGAUUUUGGCCUACAUCCUUUGUGAGAUUUGUUCGAAGAGUCGAGUUGUUUGGGAAUGCAGCUCUAAGUGGGUGGUAAAUUCCAUCUAAAGCUAAAUAUUGGCGAGAGACCGAUAGCGAACAAGUACAGUGAUGGAAAGAUGAAAAGAACUCUGAAGAGAGAGUGAAAAAGUACGUGAAAUUGCUGAAAGGGAAGGGCUUUAGGUCAGACUUGGUGUUUAAUGAUUAUCUUCUCUUCUUGAGUUGUGCACUCGUUUCUCACUGGGCCAAUGUCAGUUUUGGUGGUGGAGCACCUCUUGGAAUGUGGCUUUACUUCGGUAAAGUGUUAUAGCCUUGAGACGAUCCACUUGCCGGGACUGAGGACUGCGCAUUUUGCUAGGAUAUUGGCGUAAUGACCUUAAGCCGCCCGUCUUGAACCACGGACCA
rnacentral:rRNA from 1 species